CUGCACGAUGCCUCCCAGGCUUCGCUGAUUACAAACCCCUGAGGUAGAAAGUCCCAAAGCUCGUGCUAAAGCAUCUGCCGUUUAGUGUUGCAGUUUAGCCUUUUGUACCUUUCCACGGCUUUUCUGUGUCAAAUCAACGGCUACAUCU
rnacentral:snoRNA from 13 species